UUUACAACUAUAGAUAGAAAUAUACAGGCUAAAGGUAAUACAGAAACAUAAUAGCCCUCCCAGAAACCAGAGUCCCCAGGAGGGGCUUCCAACCACCCUUCCACCUUCUUUCCACCCCUCUACCUUAUCCCAGAGUCUGCCUUACGUGCAAGGUGAGCUUGGAGGAUUGGCAAGGGAAGUUAGAAGCAGAAGGGUUAUUUACACAGACCCAAGCAGAAACACACACUCUGACAGAGACACACACACUCUCUCUUAUCUAUGUCUUCCUGUUUUUAUACAUCUCAGCAAGCCUAUGAGUGCAUCAGACAUCACCAUUGUUUUCUUUUCACAGCCUAUAAUGUUAUUUUUCUCGUUAAAAUAUUCCAGUUUGUCUCAAACUAACACAAGUAUACUUUUUUACUAGCUACUUUUGGAGGUGUUUUUCUUGGAGGGGCUACUUGUCUAUGCUCACUUCACAUCAAGUGCUAAAUAACAGCAGUUGCUCUAUCCUCUGAUGACCCCCUCCCCAGCAGAGAAGGAGGACUGGGAAAAGACUUUUGGGUUGAAAUGAAAAUGGAUUUAAUGAAACAGUAAAAGUGAUACCAGUGCAGAUAUACCAUUUGCAAAGGUAUACUUUGCCCAGUGAAAGCAGGGUGAUCGCAAUAAAGAGGAUGGCAGUCCUCAGACAGAAUGGAACCUUAACCUGCAAACUUCUGGAGCAGAAGAAGGAGCUCUUACUAGCUUUAAAGACCAGGUGACUCAGCAGUAUCUUACGAGAAGCCUUUGUUAGAUGUUGGAACAAAUUACCUAGGUACACUGGCUGAUUAAAGGGACAGCCAGCAUACAGUUUACAAGCAGCUUAAAAGCAGCUUCCAGGGCACAGCUGUUUCAUAGGCCUGGCUGCAGGACUGGACCAUUCUGGGUUUUCAGUAAUUGCCCAGGUCUUUGGCCAUGUGAGUAGCUGUUAACACGGAUGCUGUGAGACCUGAUCCAUAGCUUCUGCUACAACAAAGUUGUCACCUGCUUCCACUUCUCAACUCUGCACAAUAUGUAAUGUGUGUCCUUGCACUUAAAAGCACAGUGGCAGGCUGGUGGCAGGAAGAUCAGGCUAUUUUUGGCAGUGUAUGCAUACAGUGAACAUUCAGUUACAAGCAUGGUCUGUGUUGUGUGGCUCCAUGCAGGUGUCCAUGCUGAGCUGGCUGCAGUUUCUGCUUGAGCUGUGGCUUAGCCGGUGGCCCUGGCCCAAGCACUGCCUGAAGGAGAACUCACUGGGCUGUGCCAGAGGGGCAGUGCUAAUGUUUCUAAAGUUCAAGUUAGAGGUAUCAUUGUCUUUGCCAUGCUUACAUCCUCAUAUUAUGAGAAAUAGCUUCUCCUCUGGCAUGUGAUCGUGCAGAAGCAUCAUACUUGUGUCUUGAAUGUACCCUGUGAUGUGGAGCCUGAAGGAGCUGCACUUAACAAGGCAUACAGCAUAUGAAUUCCAAUGCCAGCAAAAAAACCCAAACCUGCUUUAUAUGUUAAAAAGGUUCAAGUGUUUUUUUAUACUAAUAGAUUAGUAAGGGUGACCUGCAAAAUGAACCCCAAAACUCGUGCAGAGUCUUCCUCACAGGGUCUUUUUCUCUUUGAUCAGCAGACCCCUCUUUAUUGCUGAUGUCAGGAUAUCUCUGCUUCUCCUCUGUCUCCUUCCUGUUUUCCUUAGUUAUUGCAGGCUUGGGCCUUUACAAGACUACAUGUCACAGAUCUCCAGCUAGUAGCUGCAGACGCUUCUGCAGUAGCUGUUGUUUAGGUUUGCAUAUUAUCAACUGACCACUAUAAACAAACCUUUCUGCAAAGUUUGGUGUUUUAUGGUUUGCCACAG